rnacentral:rRNA from 1 species
UGACCGCUGGCGGCGUGCCUAAUACAUGCACGUCGAGCGAACAGACGCGGAGCUUGCUCCUCUGACGUUAGCGGCGGACGGGUGAGUAACACGUGGAUAACCUACCUAUAAGACUGGGAUAACUUCGGGAAACCGGAGCUAAUACCGGAUAAUAUAUUGAACCGCAUGGUUCAAUAGUGAAAGACGGUUUUGCUGUCACUUAUAGAUGGAUCCGCGCCGCAUUAGCUAGUUGGUAAGGUAACGGCUUACCAAGGCAACGAUGCGUAGCCGACCUGAGAGGGUGAUCGGCCACACUGGAACUGAGACACGGUCCAGACUCCUACGGGAGGCAGCAGUAGGGAAUCUUCCGCAAAGGGCGAAAGCCUGACGGAGCAACGCCGCGUGAGUGAUGAAGGUCUUCGGAUCGUAAAACUCUGUUAUUAGGGAAGAACAAAUGUGUAAGUAACUAUGCACGUCUUGACGGUACCUAAUCAGAAAGCCACGGCUAACUACGUG